GACCUGAACACUUGGAAUCUCCUGGAGUGUGGUGGCUCUGUGUGGCAGCCACCGUUCUGUGGAGGGACAGUGACACUGUGCAGCUGACAGAGCCUGUAAGGGGCUGAUGGUGAGCUCAUGAAAAAUUGUAUGGCAGUGUUUGAAAGCUGUGGUGUGCAGUGCUGGUUUAUCUUUCAGGCUGCUCACAGUCCAGGUCCGUGCUGAGGGGGAGUCUCUCCCUCGGGGGCAGUGCCGGGAGGCAGCUGAGGCCUCGUCUUCCCUCAGGACCAGGCAGCCCCUUCCCUCAGCAUCACCAGCCCCUUAUUUGGGUUACACAUUCCAGCUUUUUAGGCAUUUGUCUAAUGUUUGACUGAAUUAACUUGAACCUUCUACACAACUCGACUUCCUCUUUGUCUUUCCAAGGCAGUGACUUUUCGUGUGCCAGCUGUGAGAUGACACCCGGAGCAGCAGACCCUGCGUAGCUGAUUUUCAGUGGAGGGUUAGUCCAAGCUGGAGUCUCUGCCCUUCAGUUGUGUUGCACCCAAGGCUGGUGACUGCCAGUGGGAUGGAGCCCAUACAAUACUGAGCUGCACAGAUGCAUGGUGAUGCAGAACAAAGCUGCUCACUGUGGUGCUGCUGUUGGAUCCAAGAGCAGGAAGCACAAGCAAUACAUCUAUUGCACAGAUAGAGAAACUUCAGUGUUCUCCUGAAUAUGGACUGCUAGGAAAGUAAGAUCUGGGUGCAUCUGCUCAAGGAAUGAAGCAAUAAGGCUACAGCCUUCAGACUUGAAAAGGAUUUUUCUUUAAGCUGCAUGCUACUGGAAAAACAGUAAGUAUAACUUAAGAAAUGUAGUGAGAGCUCUGUGAGGGAAUUUUUGAAGUGUGAACUUAACUACUUUGAACUGGUUGUCAUGUGCUACACACUUAAAUGUGAAACAAUGCUGCUCUUUCAACCCCUGUAGUGUUAGAAAAUAGGGCAAAGCUUUUCUUCACAUCAGCUGAGCAGCAGAACUAGUGCUG